rnacentral:rRNA from 1 species
CAGUAGCCGCGGUAAUACGGAGGGGGCUAGCGUUGUUCGGAAUUACUGGGCGUAAAGCGCACGUAGGCGGCUUGGUAAGUUAGAGGUGAAAGCCUGGAGCUCAACUCCAGAAUUGCCUUUAAGACUGCCGAGCUAGCAGGUGAGAGAGGUAAGUGGAAUUCCGAGCGUAGAGGUGAAAUUCGUAGAUAUUCGGAAGAACACCAGUGGCGAAGGCGGCUUACUGGCUCAUACUGGACGCUGAGGUGCGAAAGCGUGGGGAGCAAACAGGAUUAGAUACCCCCGUAGUCCCUGUCUCUUAUAC